rfam:Clostridiales sp. SM4/1 draft genome.
GGAUGGAUUCCCGAGUGGCCAAAGGGGGCAGACUGUAAAUCUGUUGCGACACGCUUCGGUGGUUCGAAUCCACCUCCAUCCA